rnacentral:rRNA from 1 species
GUGUUGUGNGAGUGCGCCUAAUUGGCGCUAUCGAACCUGGGGUCAGCAACGGGGGAG